rnacentral:rRNA from 1 species
UACGAAGGGGGCAAGUGUUGUUCGGAAUCAUUGGGCGUAAAGCGCACGUAGGCGGAUUGCUAAGUCAGGGGUGAAAUCCUGGAGCUCAACUCCAGAACUGCCUUUGAUACUGGCGACCUUGAGUCCGGAAGAGGUGAGUGGAACUGCGAGUGUAGAGGUGAAAUUCGUAGAUAUUCGCAAGAACACCAGUGGCGAAGGCGGCUCACUGGCCCGGUACUGACGCUGAGGUGCGAAAGCGUGGGGAGCAAACAGG